UACAGAGGGUGCAAACGUUGUUCGGAAUUACUGGGCGUAAAGCGCGUGUAGGCGGCUAAGUAAGUCGGGCGUGAAAUCCCACGGCUCAACCGUGGAAAGUGCACUCGAAACUGCAUAGCUAGAGUCCUGGAGAGGAAGGUGGAAUGCUUGGUGUAGAGGUGAAAUUCGUAGAUAUCAAGCGGAACACCGGUGGCGAAGGCGGCCUUCUGGACAGUGACUGACGCUGAGACGCGAAAAGCGUGGGGGAGCAAACAGG
rnacentral:rRNA from 1 species